GCCCGCCGUCCCCGGCGCGACCGGAGCGCCUGACGCUGGGGGGCCGUGUGGGCCCUGACUUCCGGAGGGCUGGGCCCUGGUCCUCCGCCACCGCGUGCGCCCCUUAAAGACCCCUGCCCGCCGCCCAGGACGGAUGGCGACCCCGGCCCUAGCCUGUCCCCAGACCCUGGACCAAGGCCCCGGCCCUGCCCCGAACCCCUCAUCCCACCCCCAGGACCCAGGCCCCGACCCUGGCCACCCAGGACACGCCCUGGCCCUUCCCCGAACUCCCACCCCACAGCUGGGAUCAAGGUCCCGGCCCUGCCCGGAACACCUCACCCCACACCCGGGACCCAGGCCCCGGCCCUGCCCCGAACUCCCACCCCACACCCGGGACCAAGGCCCCGGCCCUGCCCCGAACCCCUCACCCCACCCCCGGGACCAAGGCCCCGGCCCUGCCCAGAACUCCCACCCCACACCCGGGACCAAGGCCCCGGCCCUGCCCAGAACUCCCACCCCACACCCGGGACCAAGGCCCCGGCCCUGCCCCGAAGGCCCCACCGGGGACCCAGGCCCCGGCCCUGCCCCAAACUCCCACCCCACACCCGGGACCAAGGCCCCGGCCCUGCCCCGAACGCCCCACCCGGGACCCAGGCCCCGGCCCUGCCCCAAACUCCCACCCCACACCCGGGACCAAGGCCCCGGCACUGCCCCGAACGCCCCACCAGGGACCCAGGCCCCAGCCCUGUCCCGAACUCCCGCCCCACACCUGAGACGAAGGUCCCGGCCCCGAAGUCCCAACCCCACACCCGGGACCAAGGCCCCGGCACUGCCCCGAACCCCCGCCCCACACCCCUAACCAAGGCCUCGGCUCAGCCCCGGAAUCCCCAACCCCACACCUGGGAUCAAGGCCCCGGCCCUUCCCCAAACCCCCAACCCACACCCGGGACCAAAAGGCCCCGGCCCCACGUUUCCUAGAGGCGCUGGGUUCGGGCCCACGUUGCAACGAGUCAGAUGCUCUUGGUAGCUCAGGGAGGUGUUCACACUCCUGCCGUUUCCGUGAGGAUGGUGACGACUCCGAACUAUAGCAGCAUACUCUACCUACCCCUGAUCAGUUUAUGGAAGAAAAGGAAACCAAACAAAGUAUGUUGCGUUUCCCUUAAGCUUGCUGCCUGAUUUUCUGGUUUCUGCUCUGAUUGGCUACAUAUACACAUAUUAUCAAUUAUUCCAAAUUUUAGGUUUGUUCCCCCAUUAAAACGGCUUUUCAGGGAUACCAUAUUCAUGGUUAACCGUGUACCUGUGCUUACAACUGCUUUUUUAAUUUUGUUUUUUGAUACAGGGUCUUGCUCUAUGCAGGUCUGCACUCUGAGCUCAGAGUGCUGUCUCGGGCCCCCAAAAUCUGGGAUUAGAGAUGGGAGCCGGUGUACCCAGCCUGUGCUUAUAAUUUUUCGUACUCAGCGUUCAAAUGCUGACAAUUCUGCAUUUUGGAAGAAAGCCUCUCCGGCUUCCCAUAGUGGGUAGACUGUUGACAUCAAGGUUGGGUGCCUUCUUUGUGAAACCUUGUUGCAUCCUAGCUUUAAGGGAAUUUGCAAGUUAAAUAAUUAUAUUCAUAGUAAUGUUUUUAAAGAACAUUUAACGACAUAAGACACAUUUCCUUUAAUAUUAAAAGCAUGUACAUAUUUCAGAAAACUUGCUUACCUGGACAACCUGCCCUGACCAGUAGGCCAUAGUGUCCUUGCUUAGGUGCCUGGUUCCUUUACCUCCACGGAUAACCUACAGGAGCUUACUCUUGGUUCAUAACAUUGCUAGGGCCAUUGAUGUGGUAUAAGUCUAGGAAUUCUGCCCCAAAAUUGGUAGGUUAAACUUUUUUUUUUUUUUGAGACUGACUCUCCCUCUGUCACCCCGGCUGGAGUGCCGUGGCAUAAUCUCGGCUCACUGCAACCUCAGUCUCCCGGGUUCAAGUGAUUCUCCUGCCUCAGCCUCCGGAGUAGCUGAGACUACAGCCGCAUGCCACCACGCCCAGCUAAUUUUUUGUAUUUUUAGUAGAGAUGGGGUUUCACCGUGUUAGCCAGAAUGGUCUUGAUCUCCUGACCUCGUGAUCCGCCUGCCUCAGCCUCCCUAAGUGCUGGGAUUACAGGCGUGAGCCACCGUUCCCGGCUGGUAGGUUAAACUUCAAUCUUUUUUGUCUAUGUCUACAUUCCAGCAGACAUCUAUGUCUUACCUAUUACAAAAGAAAGUAAUGGGAUGGGUUCAGUGGCUCAUGCCUGUAAUCCCAGCACUUUAGGAGGCCAAGGCAGGCAGAUCGCCCAAGGCCAAGAGUUCAAGACCAGUCUGGGCAAUAUGUCAAAGCCCCAUUUCUUUAAAAAAUUAUACAAAAGUAGCCGGGCAUGUGGUGCAUGGCUGUGGUUCCAGCUACUCAGGAGGCUGAGGUGGGAGGAUCGCUUGAGGUUGAGGCUGCAGUGAGCUGUGAUUGUGCCACCGCAUUCCAGCCUGGGUGACAGAGCGAGACCCUGUCUCAAAAAAAGAAAAAGAAAAAAACUAAAACUAAAAGAAUUCCAUCUCUUCUUUCUCUUCGUAUUGUGUAAUCCUUUCCAACAAUCAGAACUGGGCUUUUUGUUCCCUCAUGAUCUUCUUUUUUUCAAACCUGUGUCUCAGAAGAAACAUCCAUUUUCACCUUGAGAUGUGAGGUUAUAACAUGAAAUACAUUUUCAUGGCAUCUCUCCUUAGACAAGAUCAGUUUUUUAAAACUUUAGUAUAAAUUUCUCAAACCAUGAUCAGAUACACUCCCUCAUUUCCCAUGUCAAGUGGUUACAAAUUCUGUCAAUCCUACCUAAAAACUCUUUCCUUCUCCCCGUCCCCCCAGUGGUUUUGCCGUUGUUACUGCUCACCUGGUUUGAUUCAGUGGCGUCGCGGUUGGUCUCUGCUACAGUCCAUUACUCACAGUGCCAGCACAUGUUUCCUUAAAAAGCUUCAUCACCAUCCUCCUGCAAUGCGACCUUCACCGGCUCCCCGUUGCCUGCCCAGGAGGAUAAAGUCCAAGUUCUCCUGUGGAAAGAAGACCCUUCACACGCUAGUCCCAGCCUGUCUUCAGCCCAGCCCCCUGUGUUUCCUUUCCUGCCUUAUCCUAAGACAUCCUUACCUUCCAAUCACACUCACUUUCCGAGCAUUUUUGAAGGUAUUGAGGGAGUUGAUGAGUCUACACUUGAAUAAAAUACAGACUUUACACUCCAGACUGCACAGUUGACAGGUAAGUCCACAGUUCAUAGUGUGGACAGUCCUAUACAAAGAAAUGGAGAGGUGCCCCAGCUCCAGACGCUGCGCUGCUCUGGAAGUCGAGGGCGGCAUUCUUUUGGAGCCUGAGCACUUAGGUCCUAAUGGAUGUGAGUCCCCUGGCCUCAAAUGUGCUUCCUGUACUUGGAUGUCUCCUUCUGGCGGAAUCUCGCUUAUUUUUCAAGUUACAGCCCAAAUGUCAACCACUGAAGUGUUUUAGACAGUUGAUUUUCCUUCUGGGCCCUAUUAUUAGCACUUGUUUGUAGCUCUGUUGAGCUACAUCACAUCAUACAAUUUUCAGCUGACACUACUGUCAUCCCAAAGAAAUGGUCAGGCCUCAAGGGCAGAGGCAGCGAGGGCAGUGAUCUUGGGACAAAGUCUCUACCAAACAAAUACAGCAUGUGUAUUUCUCUAGCAGAGGCCUACAUUUCAAGUGGUGUCUGAGAACAUUCUUUUCUUUUUCUUUUUUCUUUUCUUUUCUUUUUUUUUUUUUUUUUUUUGAGUCUCCCUCUGUCUCCCAGGCUGGAGUGCAGUGGCACAAUCUUGGCUCACUGCAACCUGCGCCUACCGAGUUCAAGUGAUUCUCCUGCCUCAGCCUCCCGAGUAGCUGGGAUUACAGGGAUGCACCAUGAUGCCCAGCUAAUUUUUGUUGUUUUUUUUUUUUGUUUGUUUUUUGUUUUUAGUAGAGUCAGGGUUUCACCAUGUUGGUCAGGCUGGUCUCGAACUCCUGACCUCAAGUAAUCUACCUGCCUCCGCCUCCCAAAAAUGCUGGGAUUACAGGUGAACAUUCUUUUAUUUUAUCCCGAAGCAUUUUCUGUGAAAAAAUAAACACUACUUCUCCAAUGUGUAGCCGCAUUGCUCAAAAAUUCAUUUUUGAUGAUUUAGGACUAUUCCUUUGCCCAUUGAUUAAACAAAUAUUCACUGAGUACCUACGCGGUCUCAGGGACUGCUAAUGUUGCAGAGAUCAGGGGAGCAUCACAGAUGAGAAGCAGGUAACGAGGGAUGGAGGGUGAGGAUGAGGGAUGGAGGGUGAGGUGAGGCUGUGUAGAGUGCUUGGGUGGCUCACAAGCGGGGUCCAAGCCAACUUAAGAAGGAACCAGAAAAUGAUGACUAAGCCGGGGCCAGAGACAAACCAUCCACGAGAAGGACACAGGUGGGAAGAAGGAGGCAGUGAGUCACGAUUUACUACGAGGCAGGCCAGACACAGUAGCUCAAACCUAUAAUCCCAGCAUGUUGGGAGGCCGAGGCGGGUGUAUCAUCUAAUGUCAGGAGUUCGAGACCAGCCUGGCCAACAUGGUGAAACACCUGUCUCUAGCAAAAAUACAAAAAAAUUAGCUGGGCGUGGUGGCGGUCGCCUGUAGUCCCAGCUACUCGUGAGGCUGAGGCAGAAGAAUUGCUUAAACCCAGGAGGCUGAGGUUGCAGUGAGCGAGAUCGUGCCAUUGCACUCCAGUCUGGGCAACAAGAGUGAAACUGUCCGCCCCCCAAAAAACAACAAAAAACCAGAUUUACUAUGAGGCAAGAAAGACCCUUAGAAGGUUUUGCUGUGGAGUAUCUCCAGCCACAAAAGCCACUCCAAUAGAAACACAAUAAGGAACUGGCCUAGGCAAAUUAGGUGGAAGUAUUAAAAUGAAGAAUGGUGGUAAUACAUUUGAAUACUGUGAGUAAAAAAGAACGCAUGAGCUUUUACAGAUACUAAGAAAUAUACGUGAGUGGGUAAGUAAAAAAUAGUAGCAUUGAGGAAGGAAAAAAGAAAGCUCUUCUUUACAGUAAAAUGCUGAUUAAUAUAUGAAGAAGAGAUUUUUUUAUUUUUAUUUUUGGAGACAGGGUCUUGCUCUGUCGCCCAGGCUGGAGUGCAGUGGCGCAAUCCCAGCUCACUGCAGUCUCGACCUCCUGGGCUCUAGUGAUCCUCCCGCCUCAGCUUCCCAAGUAGCUAGGACUACAGGCAUGCGCCACCAUGCCCAGCUAAUUUUUGCAUUUUUUGUAGAGACGAGGUUUCAUCAUGUUGCUCAGGCUGGUCUCGAACUCCUGGGCUGAAGCAAUCCGCUUACUUCGACCUCCCAAAAUGCUGGGAUUACAGAUGUGAGCCACCACACCUGGCCAGAAUUAUUUUAAAAAUCACUAUCUUGUAACCACCAGAAUUCUGGCAGGAAUCACAAAUGAAUGCUAAAAUCAUUGGGUGAAACUCUGUUGAGGAUAUAGAUUAUGUACACCACCUCAAAGCUUAUUAAUUGCUUGUUGCUUAUUAAUUUCAAAGGGAAAGGAGUAUUUUUACAGUGAACAAAUAUGUUAGACCCCAUCUGAAUCAAGUAAUCAAUGUUAGCAUCACUAAUAAUGGCGGCCUGACCCCCCCUCCCCCACACCACUAUGUGUCUGCCUCAGUUAUAUGGUAUUCCGGCUAAAAUUCACAAACUUAUCACGAGGAACAAUCAGACAAACUCGAAGGACAUUCUGCAAAUGACCCAUAAUCUUUAAAAAUGUCAAGGUCAUAAAAGACAAUGAACACUUCAGGAAGUUUUCCAAAUUAUAGGAGACUAAGGAGAGAAGUCAAGCAUGACAUGGGCAAACCUAGAUUAGCUCCGAGGUCAGAGGAAACAUUCGCUGUGAUUAACAUUACUGGAUUUUAUUUUAUUUUAUUUAUUUUUAUUUAUUUAUUUAUUUUGAGACGGAGUCUUGCUCUGUCUCCCAGGCUGGAGUGCAGUGGCGUGAUCUCGGCUCACUACAACCUCCACCUCCCGGGUUCAAGCGAUUCUCGUGCCUCAGCCUCCUGAGUAGCUGGGACUACAGGCACGCACCACCACACCUGGCUAACUUUUUGUAUUUUUAGUAGACAGGGUUUCUUCAUGUUGUCCAGGCUGGUCUCGAACUCCUGGACUCAAGUGAUCUGCCUGCCUCAGCCUCCCAAAGUGCUGGGAUUACAGGUGUGAGCCACUACGGCCAGUUUGGGAUUUGAAUAUGGACUGUGUGUCAGUCUUCUAACCAAGGCUAAAUUUCUUGAAUUGGUUCUUUUUCUUUUUUUUUUUUUUUGGAGACGGAGUCUCGCUCUGUCACCCAGGCUGGAGUGCAGUGGUGUGAUUUGGGCUCACUACAAGCUCCGCCUCCCGGGUUCACGCCAUUCUCCUGCCUCAGCCUCCCGAGUAGCUGGGACUACAGGUGCCCAACACCACGCCCGGCUAAUUUUUGUUGUAUUUUUUAGUAAAGACAGGGUUUCACCGUGUUAGCCAGGAUAGGCUUGAUCUCCUGCUCUUGUGAUCCGCCCGCCUCGGCCUCCCAAAGUGCUGGGAUUACAGGCGUGAGCCACCGCGCCCGGCCGAAUUGGUUCAUUGUUUUAUGGCUGUGUAAGAGAAUGUCUUUUAUCUUAGGAGAUAGCAAUGAAUUAUUUAGGGGUGAGGGGUUAAGAUAUCUGCAAGUUUCUCUCAAAAAGUUUAGUGAAAUAUACACACACAUAUGAAUGUGUGUGUCUGUAUGUAUAUGUCUAUAUAUACAUCUCUCUCUCUCAGAGAACAUGACAAAACCUUAAUUGGUAAAUCCGAGGGUAGGAUAUAUAAGUGGCUGCAAUUUGUCUGUAAACUUGUAAUUCUUCAAAAUAGAGAGUUAUCUUGUAGAGACACAUUCUGCAGUUAUUUAUGAAUGCCAUGGUAUUAUGUUUAGGAUUUUCUUCUCAAUAAUCUAAAGAGGAAGCAGUUGGUAGAGACAGGUGAGAAAUAAUGGACAAGUGGCGUGGUGAAAAUUGUUGAAGCUGGGUGUGAUGGGUACAGGCAGGGUUCCUGACACUCUUCUCCCUGCUUUCGCAUGUUUUAAAUUCCCUAUGGCAAUAAAAACAUAGUAAUGAGAUGAAGGAUUUUAAUUCGUCAUAGACAUUCCAUGACAGCGUAUGGCUCAAAAAGCAGUCAGAGAGGACUCCACCCUUCCUGGCUGUAGGAAAGAGCUCUGGGUCUCCCAGCCUGGGAAGCCAGGGAGGCUGCAGUGGAGUUGAAUGAAGGAGUCCCGCUCAGGCGAGGAGGGUGCAGGCUUGGCGGGAGGGGAUGGCACAGGAGGGAGCAGCCAGGGAUGAAGGAACCGCAAGGGUGAGGCCUGUUAGGAGGUUUAGGGUCUGCAGGAACAUGUAAUUUUGGAAAGACCCUCUCUAGGGGGAGAUGAGAAACUCUGCUGUGAUGUAUUUUAUAACUCUCUAGGGCUACAGCCUUUGCAGAAGCCCACAUUAAAGGCCUAGGCUGCCCUGAAACGGCUUCCUGAAGUUGGAUGUGUGUUUCCUUUGAAACUAACACCACUCUGGCCUAAGAUGUCUGGGACUGCAGCUUGUAUUCAUGUGAUUUCUUGCAGAAAUCUGCUGGGGUGUUUAACCUACACAGCACCCGUCUACACAUAGGCAUAAAAUUAUCUUCUAGGCCUGAGAAAAGGCUGCACUUGCACCUUGAUGACUUGCCUGGCCUUAGCACUCAUAAAGAAGAGGAAUGAGUUGAUGAGACAUGAGAUUUGGGAAAGACUCCCCAGUUGAGGAUUGGAUGUUUCAGGAAGAGGCUGAGAACCAGACUUCAUAAGCACCUGGAGAACUGGCAAAGUGGACAUUGUUUUUAAUCCAACAUAUAUGGAGACUUGACUUUUUAUUUUUAUUUAUUUUGAGACAGAGUCUUGCUCUGUCGCCCAGGCUAAAGUGCGCAGUGGUGUGAUCUCAGCUCACUGCAACCUCCACCUCCCAGGUUCAAGCGGUUCUCGUGCCUCAGCCUCCUGAGUAGCUGGGAUUACUGGCAUGUGCCACCACGCCCGGCUAAUUUUUUUUUUUUUUUUUUUUUUGAGACGGAGUUUCACUCUUGUUGCCCAGGCUGGAGUGCAAUGGUGCGAUCUCGGCUCACCGCAACAUCCACCUCCCGGGUUCAAGCGAUUCUCCUGCCUCAGCCUCCCGAGUAGCUGGGAUUACAGGCAUGCACCACCACGCCCGGCUAAUUUUGUAUUUUUAGUAGGGACGGGGUUUCUCCAUAUUGGUCAGGCUGGUCUCAAACUCUUGACCUCAGGUAAUCCGCCUGCCUUGGCCUCCCAAAGUGCUGGGAUUACAGGCAUGAGCCACCAUGCGCGGGCUUAAUUUUUAUAUUUUUAGCAGAGAUGAGGUUUCACCAUGUUGGCCAGGCUGGUCUCAAACUCCUGACCUCAAGUGAUCCUCCCACCUUGGCCUCCCAAAGUGCUGGGAUUGCAGGCAUGAGCCAUCACGCCCAGCUAAUUUUUGUAUUUUUAGUAGAAACAGCGUUUUGCCAUGUUAGCCAGGCUCGUCUUGGGCCAGGAACGUGGCGGGGGGAGGGGGGCGCCUGCCCAGAGGAGGCCCCAGUGCCUGAAGUGGGCAUGAAGAGCCCAGCAGCAUUAGAGGAACAAGGACUGACAUGUUUCCCACAGUGGAAAGAAAGUUUUUGAAACAGAAAAAUAGCACGGGCAUUUGUGGGGUACAUAAGAAAGAGACAAAAUGGAACCAUUUGGACCAGAAGGCAUGACGGGAGAAGUGCGGGAGCGCAGGAGAGGUGUGAGCUAGUCUCAUCCUGGGGUGGCCGGUCAAUGCCAGACUGUGUCCAGGAGGCCACUGCGAGACUUUGAAAAGAUGUUUCACAUAGAAAUUACUGUAUGCAGGUGAGAAGCAGAGGUUGACCUAAACACUGCAGAGAAUGUUGGAUGGAAAGUUGGGACUUAAAAUCUUGAUUUGGCAAAAUCACAGACUCAGCUGGAGAGGUGAGUGUUGGCCAGGACAUGGGACCCACUUCCUCUAAGACGGACAGGAGCUCAGAGCCCCGGACUUCAGUUUUGUGGACGAGGAGGUCAGGUUGUUUGCUGAAGAUGAGGGUGGACCGAUAGGGUGGAGAAACAAUGGGGUCUGUAAAAAUGCUUGAGGCAGGUGCUUGGAGGAGGACGGACAUUUGCCAGUGUCCACUUCAUUGCCCACUCCCACCUGUGGGUGCUGGGGACUCAGCCUGCUCUUCCUCCUCUUCAGAGUUGUCACCUAUUGUGUUCAUGGAAGUCCUUCUCCAACCCCCAUUUAAGACCAGCUAAUCAGGGAGAGUCCCAAUUCCCCAUGAGCUUACUUUGUUUUGUUUGUUUGUUUGUUUGUUUUGAGACGGAGUUUCACUCUUGUCGCCCAGGCUGGAGUGCAGUGGCAUGAUCUCGGCUCACUGCAACCUCUGCUCCUGGGUUCAAGCGAUUCUCCUUCCUCAGCCUCCUGAGUAGCUGGGAUUACAGGCGCCUGCCACCAUGCCUGGCUAAUUUUUGUAUUUUUGGUAGAGAUGGGCGGGGGGUGUCUCACCAUGUUGGCCAGUCUAGUCUUGAACUCCUAACCUCAGGUGAUCCGCCCGCCUUGGCCUCCCAAGUGCUGGGAUUACAGGCGCGAGCCACUGCACCCGGCCUGAUCUUGCUUUUUAAGCGAUUGCAAUUCCACCUGGUGCUAUGGUGAUCUGGGGUUCCAUGGCCUGUUUACCAGAAGAGCAAUGCUUUUGUUGUGCUAUAUUGUUAUUUCAGUUAUUUUUUUAUUUUUUAUUUUUUGUCUUUUUUUGUUUGUUUGUUUUGUUUUGUUUUGUUUGAGACAGGGCCUCAGCCUGUCACCUAGACUGGAGUGCAGUGGUGUGAUCAUAGCUCCCUGCAGCCUCUAACUCCUGGGCUCAAGCGAUCCUCCCACCUCAGCCUCCUAAGUACCUGGGAUUAUAGGCUCAAACUAGCAUGUAUGGCUCAGUACAUUUUUUUAAAAAUCUGCAUUAUGUAUAUCUUGAACUAUACCUAGAGAAGUAUACAUUGGUUGAAAUUUUGAGGUGAACAAAUGUGCCACUGUUCAGAAACAUUCUAAUCACAUUCUCCACUGUUCGAAAUUCCCCAAGGUAUCUAUUUUUGCCUUAAUUUAUAUUCCCUAUGUUAAGAAGGUCAUUUGAGCACAUUUUCAUGUUUGUUAGCUAUUUCUAUUUUUCCCUUGCCUGUUUAGAUCUAGAUUUAUUACAAGAAGUCCAUGAUGGAGACAGCUCAGGAAUGGAAGAGGUGAGAAAUAAUUCUGUCAAAGAAUAUGGGGGUGUUGUAGGGAACCGGAAGAUGAGGGCAGAGAAGGGAUUGAAGCUGCCUGAUUGCGUGACCUUCCCAGGAUCCCGAUCCCUCACUGGUUCCAACACCAGAUUCCAUGUUCCUCCUCUCCCCUAAGUUUUUUCUCCGGAGUCAGAUGCAUUUCCCUAAAAUAAUUUAUUUUAACCAGGAUCUUCUUUUACGAAUGUCCUAUUUGCACAGACUCAAGCCCAAAGAUCAGAAGAACCUCUGUCCUGGAAGUCGGUUCUCUUUCCAAUGGAACAGCCUCUGCAAAGUGUACCACACGAUGAGUUAAUAUAUCUCACUUUUAGAAAGAAAGAUACUGAUAUGCCACUGAUGUGGUUUGGAUGUGCGUCCCUCCAC
rnacentral:lncRNA from 1 species